UAUUUUGAAUUUUCCCAAAUUACGCUGGACCAAAUGGAAAAGAGUCAUUCCUCCUCAUCUGACUUCCUGCUCUCGCCCUUUCUCUCACUCCGUCUCGCGUAGCGUUCCUCCCAAUUGCACCCAGCCAGCCUUCUCCUCAUCUUCUCCUCAUCCUCUCUCAUAGCCUUCCUCCUCGCCUUCCAAUCAGCCUUCAAACCGUAAUAGCUCCCACGAUGACGAGGACUCCGAUUCCGAUUGCGUUGAGAUUAAUCACAAACUGGAGGAUGACGACUCCGAUUAAGUCGUUAUUAAGAACGAAUUGGAGGACGACAAUGCGGAUGAGGUCUCGAAGGCCAGGCCGGUCAAUCGUGGACAUCAGUUUGUGGUCGAGGACGAGGAUAGCGAUGGGGAUUAGGCUAAUAUUGAGUCAAUGAGUGAGGAAGAAGGGGAGGAGGUAAAGGAGUUGGAGGACAACGACAUGGUUGGGAAGGCUUUGCAGAAGUGUGCCAAAAUAUCGGCGGAUUUGAGAAAGGAGCUCCACGGGAGUUCGGCUCCGGUGGUUUCUGAUCGAUACGCCAAAGUGGAAGCUACCUCUGUGAGGAUUGUCAAUCAGGAUGACAUUAUUGAGGCUUGUAGGUCUAAAGAUUCCGAUUUUCAACCUAUUCUCAAGCCAUAUCAGUUGGUUGGUGUUAACUUUCUUCUUCUGCUGUAUCAAAAGGGUAUUGGUGGAGCCAUUUUGGCCAACGAGAUAGGUCUCGGGAAGACCAUUCAAGUACCUGCAUGUCCUUUCUCUUUGCAUAUGCCAAUAAUAUGUUUAGCUUUUUUUUUUUUUUGGAAACUUUUUUAAAGAAGUGUUGGUUCAAAUUAGAACAGUCCGGCAAGCCAUGAGGGAUCCGGACGGCACCAACCCGUUAUCCUUCCACUGCCAAGAGCGGGAGGUGAUCGUUGCUUGUCCUUGUUAAACAGGCUAUAACAUGCUUGAUGCUAUUGAAACAGUUAAAUGAUGACCCAGGUCCACAUUUGAUUGUAUACCCUGCUUCUGUUUUGGAAAAUUGGGAAAGAUAACUUAAAAAGUGGUGCCCAUCAUUCACUGUUCUCCAGUAUCAUGGGGUUGCAUGAUCGGCAUAUUCAAAAGAGUUGAACUCUUUGUCCAAAGCUGGAUUACCACCUCCUUUUAAUGUUCUUCUCGUGUGUUACUCACUAUUUGAAAGACACAGCAGAAAGAUGAUCGUAAAAUUCUGAAACGAUGGCAGUGGAGUUAUGUGCUUAUGGACGAGGCACGAAGUGCAAACCAGCGUCUAACGCUAACAGGGACACCUCUACAAAAUGAUUUACAUGUAUGACUUUUUACCCUUUGAAAUCUUAUGGAAUAUUACUGAUGUGACUUUUUACCCGAUAAGCACCUAUUAAGAUAAGGUGUCGGUCCAGGUAUACAUGUGGAUAACCUGUUACACGAUAAGAAAAAUAUUAUUUUAAUAAUUUUAUACCACUAGAAAAAAUUACUAUAAUUAUAGUAGUAGGAUUUAGUCUCACUUUUGUGAGAUUAAAUCCCUACCAUUAUACAUACAUACAUACAUACAUACAUAUAUAUAUAUAUAUUUGAAUUAAAUUUGGAAAAUUGAUGACCGUUGGAUCGGCUAAGAUUUAAUCUUGACCGUCCUAAUGCCUAAAUCAAACUCUGUCUCUCUCAUUCUCGAAGUCAAGGGCUCAAAUUGAAGCAGCUAUUUUCUCUCUCUCUAAAACUUAACUCUCGAAUCUCAGUCUUGAGCCUCAACUUCAAACAACCAUGAGUCACAACCACCCUCUCCCGUCUCUCUCCACCACACUGAUUGGCUCCGAGCUUGCGGUAACCUUUUCUUUUUGUUGCUAUUUUUUUUUAAAUGUAUUUUGUUUUAACUUCCGAGAAAGGUUUCACAACCUUGAAAAGAAAAACUCCUUCAUUUUGUA